rnacentral:rRNA from 1 species
GGCAACAGCUCAAAUUUGAAAUCUGGCCCCCAGGGUCCGAGUUGUAAUUUGCAGAGGAUGAUUUUGGCGAGGUGCCUUCCGAGUUCCCUGGAACGGGACGCCACAGAGGGUGAGAGCCCCGUCUGGUUGGACGCCGAGCCUAUGUAAAUCUCCUUCGACGAGUCGAGUAGUUUGGGAAUGCUGCUCUAAAUGGGAGGUAUAUGUCUUCUAAAGCUAAAUAUUGGCCAGAGACCGAUAGCGCACAAGUAGAGUGAUCGAAAGAUGAAAAGCACUUUGAAAAGAGGGUUAAAUAGUACGUGAAAUUGUUGAAAGGGAAGCGCUCAUGACCAGACUUGGGCCCGGUGAAUCAUCCAGCGUUCUCGCUGGUGCACUUUGCCGGGCUCAGGCCAGCAUCAGUUUGCCCCGGGGGAUAAAGGCUUUGGGAAUGUGGCUCCUCCGGGAGUGUUAUAGCCCAUUGCAUAAUAUCCUGGGGCGGACUGAGGUUCGCGCAUCUGCAAGGAUGCUGGCGUAAUGGUCAUCAGCGA